CGGCAAGUCACAGCAGGCU
rnacentral:miRNA from 1 species